rnacentral:rRNA from 1 species
GGUUCAUCCAAAUUUCUUCCCUAUCAACUUUCGAUGUUUGGGUAUUGGCCAAACAUGGUUGCAACGGGUAACGGAGGGUUAGGGCUCGACCCCGGAGAAGGAGCCUGAGAAACGGCUACUACAUCCAAGGAAGGCAGCAGGCGCGCAAAUUACCCAAUCCCGACCGGGGAGGUAGUGACAAUAAAUACUGAUACAGGGCUCUUUUGGGUCUUGUAAUUGGAAUGAGUACAAUUUAAAUCCCUUAACGAGGAACAAUUGGAGGGCAAGUCUGGUGCCAGCAGCCGCGGUAAUUCCAGCUCCAAUAGCGUAUAUUAAAGUUGUUGUGGUUAAAAAGCUCGUAGUUG